CUAUGCGCCUUGCCAGCCCGCUCAGUCAGAGUUUGAUCCUGGCUCAGGACGAACGCUGGCGGCAUGCCUAAUACAUGCAAGUCGAGCGGAAGUUGAAGAGCUUGCUCUUCAACUUUAGCGGCGGACGGGUGAGUAACACGUGGGCAACCUGCCCUGCAGAUCGGGAUAACUCCGGGAAACCGGUGCUAAUACCGAAUAGUUUAUAACCUCCCCUGAGGUUGUACGGAAAGACGGUUUCGGCUGUCACUGCAGGAUGGGCCCGCGGCGCAUUAGCUAGUUGGUGGGGUAAUGGCCCACCAAGGCGACGAUGCGUAGCCGACCUGAGAGGGUGAUCGGCCACACUAGGACUGAGACACGGCCCAG
rnacentral:rRNA from 1 species